AAAGUGUCGACUAAGCAGGUGCCGAGAAAAAAACGAAACGACUCCUCCAGGCUCCAUAGUCCAUACCUCACCGCCUUACGCCACGCUACAACCUUCCCUUCUCUCUUCCGCCGCCAUAAUAGUGUUAGUAUUAGCAGAAGAAUAAUGUUCAAGAAGGCAGUGGACGCCAAGUCUCACCAGCGACUUUCUGGCGCCGACCGGAAGAAGCUCCGUCGCACUAUCAGAGACCGUUUCUCGAAUGCCUCUGAUGCCCUUCUCGACCUUUUACUUCCUCCCAAAGCGGAGUUAGCUGUUUCAAAAUAUCCAAAUCGGGUACUCGUUUAUGGCUUGGAGGGCGAUUGUCCCAUGUUCUUUGACGUAGAUGGGCGAGGUCGUGAUAUUUUCCCUACAGUUUAUGCUCUGUGGAGAGUCCCAGAACUUUUGCCUGCUUUUGUGCUGAAAGGGGGUGAAGUUUCUCGUUUUAUGCUUGGAGGGGCAGAUUUAAUGUUCCCUGGUAUCAGUAUACCUUCUGAAGGGUUUCCCUCAUUUUCUUCUGGGGAGCCAUGGGCAGUGAAGGUUCCUGGAAAUCCUGCUGCAAUAGCUGUGGGGACAACUACCAUGAGUAGUUCAGAAGCUUUAAAAGCUGGUCUACGUGGAAAGGCCUUAAAAAUAUUGCAUUACUAUCGAGACACCCUUUGGGAAUCUGCAGAAAAUUGUCAUGUACCAAAUGCUGGUUUUCUAGAAGACGUCGUGUUUGAAGAUCCUGCUCUUUUGUUUAGUAGUAGGGCAUCUGAUUCAAGUGAAGUUGAUCCUUCAGUUGACCCAGGAAAUGUGACUAGCAAUGAGGACAUGGGAGAAGUGAUUGACUCUAAUGCAGCUUCAUUAGGUGGUGGUCAGCCUUCUACUACACAGAGUGAUGGAGCUGAUGAAAUUUCUGUGCAGCUUACUAAUGAUCUAAGCGAGUUGAAGGUUGCAGAAACAUUCGUAGAUGAAUCAAAUACCGAGGGACAACAUUCCUUGUGUGUUGAAGAGGUAGAUGCACUCUUGGACAAGUGUCUUCUACAAGCAUUACAUACGACAAUUAAGGAGAAAGACCUGCCAAUCCCUGGAAGUACAUUUUGGUCAAGUCAUGUGCUACCUUGCAGGCCUCCAGGCAUAACACUCGACAUAAAGAAGUCAUCUCACAAGAAAUUGUCCAAGUGGCUACAGGCUAAAGCCUCUUGUGGAUUGAUCUCAGUGAAAGAAGAUAAACAUAAGAAAGAGGUGAUUCUGUUCUCUGUUAAUCGAAAUCAUCCAUACUAUUUGUCCUACAAGCCAGAAAAGAAAAAAGUGGACAAGACCGGGCCUUCAACAAAUAAUGUUUCUUAUGAAGAACGGAUACAGAAGACACUGGAAGUUUCUGAAAUUUAUAAACCAAGUGUGCAUGUAAAUCCUAUUUUUGCUUCUGUUGGUGCUGAAACUAGUAGACUUUACACUGCAUCUGAGGCCUCUGAAAUAGUGUUCCAGUACGUUGAGAAAGAAAAUCUUGUGAAGCCAUCAAAUAAGUCCACUGUGACGUUAGAUGCAACUCUAUGUGAUGCUUUAUUUAAGGGAGCCAUAAAAAAAGGAUCAACUUAUCCAUCUGAAAUUCAUAAGAAGGAUGUGGGGCAAACUUUUAUUGGUAGGAUGCAAGCACAUCAUUGUGUGACUAGAGGAAACGAUACAGUUAUUCGCAAAGGAGCCUUGAAGCCAAUCCAGAUAAUGACAGAACGGAGGCAAGGAAACAAGAAAGUGACUAAACUUUCUGGAAUGGAGUCAUUUCUGUUGGAUGCAGAGGCUUUGGCUUCAGAGUUGCAGAAGAAGUGUGCCUGUAGCACUACUGUGGCAGAACUUCCAGGUAAGAAAGGUGAAGAAGUUUUGGUUCAAGGAGGUGUUAUUGAUGAUCUUGCAAGAUAUCUUGUUGAACAGUAUGGUGUCCCAAAAAGAUAUAUCGAAGUGCUUGAUAAAACAAAGAGAGGUUGAGGAUCACGCUCCUAUCAUAUGUGGCUAGUAGGGUUCUUAUCGGCAAAGUAUUUGGUACCAAUGACGCCCAAGAUGAAAAGAACCUGUAGUGGUGCACAAAGGCGCUCAAAACAACAGUUAUUAGAUGAGUCCAACGGGUUGGAGGAGGACACCAGGGCAAUUAUUUCGGGUAACACUACUACAACAUCAAACACUAGAGCUUCAACCCGGCAACAUCGGGGUACUCCUAGUCUGAUGAGGGAGACUGCUAUAGAAUGACCACCACCAGUGAAUGCAGCAGGGGUUGGCAUUUCAGAACCUGUCCGAGGUGGCUCAAUUAAGACAGAAAACCUCGAAUUUCAUGAUGCUGUGCAGUGGUCCAUCAAAGGGGCUGCACAAUACUACAAAGAUGGGCUUGUAAAGACAAUGAAUGGAGGUUUGAAACAAAGCAUUAUUGAGGAAGGUUGAAUUCCCGCAUCCGACCUUCCCGAAUCUCCUGAGAUUGAAGCGAGGUUCAAGGCAUAUAAGUUAGAUUGGAUAACGGAGGGGCCAGGUGCAUACUUUACGACAAUGGUUCGUGAGUUCUAUGCAUACUAAGCGGCGACACUGGAUAACAAGGGUAAGCCACCAAAAGGGGAGUUGGUGUCAUGACAUAAACUGGGGCUUAGCCGUGACAUGCAAUUAGAAUCCCGAAGGACUCCAACCAAGCCUCUUAGCAUAUUAUUCAUGAGCAUACA